UCCCUCCCUCCCUCCCACCCAUGUCUACCCAAAGAGCAAGAGCUUCACGAGUCACCGACGAUGAGAUUAACGACCUCAUCCUCAAACUGCAGGCGUUGCUACCUCAUUCAAAUCAAAGGCGCACGUCUACAGGGGCAUCGGCAUGGAGGAUUCUGAAAGAAACGUGCAGUUACAUAAAGAGGCUACACAGAGAGGUGGGCGACCUGAGUGAGAGACUAUCCCAGCUUCUUGAUUCUCUUGAUAAUAUUAAUGGUGUUGAGGUUGAGCAACUUAGAAGUUUAUUGCAGCGAUAGAUCUUUAGUCCCCUUCCUCUCUCAGCUGGAAUUGCUUUCAAGUCAUAAUACCAGACAAAAGAUGUAUUAUAUCUUCCUGCAACCCACCCCACAAUGUUCUGAUUUUCUUCUUUCUUUGUCUGGUCAGGACUCCAACCAGUGAGAUAAAUUAUUUAUGUGCAACAUAUAUGUAUUUGGGUUUUUCUUCGGGUCUCUUUUCUAUUUCUCUCUUCUUUGUCGUUUAGGUGCUGAGUUUUUCUUAAAACAAAGUACUGAUUUUGGGGUUCAAGGCUGAAGUAGAAUAUCAUAUGCAGCUAACAGACCUCAAAUGCUGUGUUUGAUUUAGUAAAUUAUGGGAUCAUGAUUCGAUGUUUAGAAUAUAAUAAGACAGGAGAAUACAAAACCA